rnacentral:rRNA from 1 species
UGGGGAAUUUUGGACAAUGGGGGCAACCCUGAUCCAGCCAUUCCGCGUGAGUGAAGAAGGCCUUCGGGUUGUAAAGCUCUUUUGUCCGGAACGAAACGGCUAGCGUGAAUAUCGCUGGCUACUGACGGUACCGGAAGAAUAAGCACCGGCUAACUACGUGCCAGCAGCCGCGGUAAUACGUAGGGUGCGAGCGUUAAUCGGAAUUACUGGGCGUAAAGCGUGCGCAGGCGGUUUUGUAAGCCAGAUGUGAAAUCCCCGGGCUUAACCUGGGAAUGGCAUUUGGGACUGCAAGGCUGGAGUUUGGCAGAGGAGACUGGAAUUCCCGGUGUAGCAGUGAAAUGCGUAGAUAUCGGGAGGAAUACCGAUGGCGAAGGCAGGUCUCUGGGCUAUAACUGACGCUCAUGCACGAAAGCGUGGGGAGCAAACAGG